AUGAAACGGUGCGUCUCGUGUAAGGUUAUAACUUGUGACCCUUCAUCUUCUUAUCUAAGAGAACUCGCUUCCUCUCUUCCAAGUUCAGACGGCGCGGCACUCUCAGGCAACAAUUCCGCCGUCUUCACCGUUUUAUUUCUCGGCCACCUUCUCCGAUGCAUCAACAACAUCUCCGAUUCCAUUCGUCACACAUCGAUUCAGACAAAACUCAACACAUAG